rnacentral:rRNA from 1 species
CCUACGGGAGGCAGCAGUGGGGAAUAUUGCACAAUGGGCGAAACCCUGAUCCAGCAAUGCCGCGUGUGUGAAGAAGGCCUGCGGGUUGUAAACCACUUUUAUGGGGAAAGAAAAUCUCAGGGUUAAUAACCC